rnacentral:rRNA from 1 species
UACUACGGAAUAACGCAGGGAAACUUGUGCUAAUACCGUAUGUGUCCUUCGGGAGAAAGAUUUAUCGGUAAAGGAUGAGCCCGCGUUGGAUUAGCUAGUUGGUGGGGUAAAGGCCUACCAAGGCGACGAUCCAUAGCUGGUCUGAGAGGAUGAUCAGCCACAUUGGGACUGAGACACGGCCCAAACUCCUACGGGAGGCAGCAGUGGGGAAUAUUGGACAAUGGGCGCAAGCCUGAUCCAGCCAUGCCGCGUGAGUGAUGAAGGCCCUAGGGUUGUAAAGCUCUUUCACCGGAGAAGAUAAUGACGGUAUCCGGAGAAGAAGCCCCGGCUAACUUCGUGCCAGCAGCCGCGGUAAUACGAAGGGGGCUAGCGUUGUUCGGAAUUACUGGGCGUAAAGCGCACGUAGGCGGAUCGAUCAGUCAGGGGUGAAAUCCCAGGGCUCAACCCUGGAACUGCCUUUGAUACUGUCGAUCUGGAGUGUGGAAGAGGUGAGUGGAAUUCCGAGUGUAGAGGUGAAAUUCGUAGAUAUUCGGAGGAACACCAGUGGCGAAGGCGGCUCACUGGUCCAUUACUGACGCUGAGGUGCGAAAGCGUGGGG